AGUGAACGCUGGCGGUAGGCCUAACACAUGCAAGUCGAACGGCAGCACAGUAAGAGCUUGCUCUUACGGGUGGCGAGUGGCGGACGGGUGAGGAAUACAUCGGAAUCUACUUUUUCGUGGGGGAUAACAUAGGGAAACUUACGCUAAUACCGCAUACGACCUACGGGUGAAAGCAGGGGAUCUUCGGACCUUGCGCGAUUGAAUGAGCCGAUGUCGGAUUAGCUAGUUGGCGGGGUAAAGGCCCACCAAGGCGACGAUCCGUAGCUGGUCUGAGAGGAUGAUCAGCCACACUGGAACUGAGACACGGUCCAGACUCCUACGGGAGGCAGCAGUGGGGAAUAUUGGACAAUGGGCGCAAGCCUGAUCCAGCCAUACCGCGUGGGUGAAGAAGGCCUUCGGGUUGUAAAGCCCUUUUGUUGGGAAAGAAAAGCAGCAGGUUAAUACCCCGCUGUCCUGACGGUACCCAAAGAAUAAGCACCGGCUAACUUCGUG
rnacentral:rRNA from 1 species